UUAUCACAUGCAAUUCACCCUUGAAAGCUUCGAGACAAACAUUAGCACUCAUUGGCACAUCAAUGAAGACCUUCAAGCUGGAGACAACGGCCUUUGGAAUUUUCUAUGAAAGCAAUAGAGCAAAAGCACAAAAACAAAACAAACAAUUAAUACACGGAGAUUAAAUAUAGUGAAUGAAAGACAAUAAACAAAAUCAAGUGGAUUCAUUGGGAAGAAAUAAAUUCAUACUAAGCUUAUUAACCUAGAAUAAGUUAAAAAUAGCAUACACUAUUUAAAAAAGGUAAAAAACUCAAAGAAGUAUACAUGGAAGACUGCCUCAUAACAAAAAAGUGUUAUGUUAAUACUAGCAUUCAUACGAUUACUUCCAUUUACAUUUACAUUAUAGAAAGAUGCUUGGUUUUUAUUGCAAACGAAUUGUUUACUGGACACCUAAAAAAUAUAGAAAAAAACCUUCCAUUUACAUUAUACUACCAACUAUUUAAACAGAACAAGAGGAAAAAUUAAGAGCUAAAAAUUCAGAAAAAUAAUUAAACCAAAACUAGAAACAAAGAAUUACCAUUAAGAACUUCUCAGUAUUUGUUGCAGUCAACACAUGAACAUAUGGCAUGCAUCCUAGAAAAAAUGAUGUACGGAAGAUAGAUGUCACAAACUCUUGAUUGUCAUGAUAGUUGAAUCGGAGACCCCGAGGAAUGACAACAGAGCAAACAAGCUGAUACUUUGCAUCAGUCAGAUUUUCAAACGUUGCGAAAGACAAAAGAGAUAAGUCACAGCCAAGUAAAAAGUCUAUAGCAUUAGAGCAGAAAAAACAAGAUUACGAAUCACACACAUACCACAAUCAGGAGUAGGAAGAAUCCGAUGGCCAGCAUGGUAAGUUUCUACUUUCAAAUCAAACACUGAGUGGUCUAGAGUGAAUACGACACAGUCUCCAGCACGAAGAGCAUAGUCCUGGGUAAGUUCAUUCCAAGCUGCACCACAGAACUUAGAGUAACGGCCUCGGUGCUUAAAGACUGCAGCAUAAGAUCUGCUCUCAAAGGUAAGCAGAGCAGGCUCAAUCCUCUUGUAGCCUGACAUCUGGGCGACAUUCCUGUGCUCCUGAAUGUAAGCAGCUAAGGGAGCCCUUACAUUGCAUGGAAUGUACUAGAUUGAAUAAAACAACAAAGUCAAUACAAAUGAAAAGUACAAAAAUAAAAAAUUGAAUACUGAUAAAUCUAAACUUGCAUUAGUUUAACCACAUCGGCAAAAUUCAGACUAUACAUAUAAAAAUAUACAGUGGAUUAACGUUACUAGAAAUGGAGAAUUUUCACCCUCAAACUAAAAACAGUGGAUUAAAUUCAGACUAUGAACUUCCAUGCAAUAUACAAAUAGCAAAAAAGAUUCAGUCAUUUUCCGCACUGAGUUUCACUUUAAAAAAAGUGUGUGUUCAUCAAUAUCAACUGAGAAAAUCUUAUCCUUUGAUAUACCAAAAGGUUACAACAUUCAUGAUAGUAGGAAUUUACACACUAGGCAAAACAGGAAGUUUAUAGAAAAACUCAUCACAAAAAGAACUAAAAAAGAAAAUAAAUCUUGCAUACUCAUAAUUCUAAACUUACGCACACAUUGAUGCAGAAAAAAAUACUAGAAAAUGAAAUGUUGUCGUUCAACUACUUACUGAAAAAAGGCACUAGAAAAAUCCAACCAAUUUAAAAGUCACUUGAUAAAACUUGCACACAAAUCAUGUCACUUGAUGAAAAGUCGCUUCAUAAAAAAGAAAAAGUAAGCUUCAUACUCACAAAUCUAAAACUUGCACACACAUUAGAACAACAACAAAAAAAGUAAAAAGAUCCAUUAUAGUCCAUAUCCAUAGUAACAUACAAGGAGUCCUGGUCUAACAUUUAUUUUAUCCAAGGCUAUUAAGACAGUGAGUUUUACUUAAAAUAUCAACUGAAAAAAAAAUCUUAUUCUAUAAUAUAUAUUCAUUGCACAUUCAUUGUGCAAAAAUGUGCAUACUCAUAUAGAACUAAAAAGAAGAUACAAUCUUGCAUACUCAUACUUCUAAACUUGCGCACACAUUAAAGUAUCACAUACAAAAACUAGAAAUGAAAUGGUGUCAUUCAACUACUUAUUGAAAAAAAGGCACUAGAAAAAUCGCUGUAAUUUAAAAGUCACAAGAUAAAUUGCAUACACCUAUAUGUAAAACUUACACACAAAUCAUGUCACUUCAUAAAUAAGUCACUUGAUAAAAAGAAAAAAGGAAGUUGCAUACUCACAAAUUAAAAUUUGCACACACAUUAGAACAACAAAAACAAAAAAUACAUAUCCAUUAUAAUCCAUAUCCAGAGUAACAUACAAAGAGUCCUGGUCUAACAUUUAUUUUAUCCACGGCUAUUAAGACAGUGAGUUUUACUUAAAAGAUCAACUGAAAAAAAUCUUAUUCUAUAAUAUAUAUUGGUUGCACAUUCAUUGUGCGAAAAUGUGCAUACUCAUAUAGAACUAAAAAGAAGAUACAAUCUUGCAUACUCAUACUUCUAAACUUGCGCACACAUUAAAGUAUGACAUACAAAAACUAGAAAUGAAAUGGUGUCAUUCAACUACUUAUGGAAAAAAGGAACUAGAAAAAUCCCCGUAAUUUAAAAGUCACAAGAUAAAUUGCAUACACCUAUAUGUAAAACUUACACACAAAUCAUGUCACUUCAUAAAGAAGUCACUUGAUAAAAAAGAAAAAAGGAAGUUGCAUACUCACAAAUUAAAACUUGCACACACAUUAGAACAGCAAAAACAAAAGUACAUAUCCACUAUAAUCCAUAUCCAGAGUAACAUACAAAGAGUCCUGGUCUAACAUUUAUUUUAUCCACAGCUAUUAAGACAGUGAGUUUUACUUAAAAUAUCAACUGAAAAAAAAUCUUAUUCUAUAAUAUAUAUUCGUUGCACAUUCAUUGUGCGAAAAUUUGCAUACUAAUAUAGAACUAAAAAGAAGAUACAAUCUUGCAUACUCAUACUUCUAAACUUGCGCACACAUUAAAGUAUGACAUACAAAAACUAGAAGUGAAAUGGUAUCAUUCAACUACUUAUGGAAAAAAGGAACUAGAAAAAUCCCCGUAAUUUAAAAGUCACAAGAUAAAUUGCAUACACCUAUAUGUAAAACUUACACACAAAUCAUGUCACUUCAUAAAGAAGUCACUUGAUAAAAAAGAAAAAAGGAAGUUGCAUACUCACAAAUUAAAACUUGCACACACAUUAGAACAGCAAAAACAAAAGUACAUAUCCACUAUAAUCCAUAUCCAAAGUAACAUACAAAGAGUCCUGGUCUAACAUUUAUUUUAUCCACAGCUAUUAAGACAGUGAGUUUUACUUAAAAUAUCAACUGAAAAAAAAUCUUAUUCUAUAAUAUAUAUUCGUUGCACAUUCAUUGUGCAAAAAUGUGCAUACUCAUAUAGAACUAAAAAGAAGAUACAAUCUUGCAUACUCAUACUUCUAAACUUGCGCACACAUUAAAGUAUCACAUACAAAAACUAGAAAUGAAAUGGUGUCAUUCAACUACUUAUUGAAAAAAAGGCACUAGAAAAAUUGCCGUAAUUUAAAAGUCACAAUAUAAAUUGCAUACACCUAUAUGUAAAACUUACACACAAAUCAUGUCACUUCAUAAAGAAGUCACUUGAUAAAAAGAAAAAAGGAAGUUGCAUACUCACAAAUUAAAAUUUGCACACACAUUAGAACAACAAAAACAAAAAAUACAUAUCCAUUAUAAUCCAUAUCCAGAGUAACAUACAAAGAGUCCUGGUCUAACAUUUAUUUUAUCCAUGGCUAUUAAGACAGUGAGUUUUACUUAAAAUAUCAACUGAAAAAAAUCUUAUUCUAUAAUAUAUAUUCGUUGCACAUUCAUUGUGCAAAAAUGUGCAUACUCAUAUAGAACUAAAAAGAAGAUACAAUCUUGCAUACUCAUACUUCUAAACUUGCGCACACAUUAAAGUAUUACAUACAAAAACUAGAAAUGAAAUGGUGUCAUUCAACUACUUAUUGAAAAAAGGCAUUAGAAAAAUCCCCGUAAUUUAGAAGUCACAAGAUAAAUUGCAUACACCUAUAUGUAAAACUUACACACAAAUCAUGUCACUUCAUAAAGAAGUCACUUGAUAAAAAAGAAAAAAGGAAGUUGCAUACUCAAAAAUUAAAACUUGCACACACAUUAGAACAGCAAAAACAAAAGUACAUAUCCACUAUAAUCCAUAUCCAAAGUAACAUACAGAGAGUCUUGGUCUAACAUUUAUUUUAUCCACAGCUAUUAAGACAGUGAGUUUUACUUAAAUAUCAACUGAAAAAAAAAUCUUAUUCUAUAAUAUAUAUUCAUUGCACAUUCAUUGUACAAAAAAGUGCAUACUCAUAUAGAACUAAAAAGAAAAUGAAAACUUGCAUACUCAUACUUCUAAACUUGCGCACACAUUAAAGUAUCACAUACAAAAACUAGAAAUGAAAUGAUGUCAUUCAACUACUUAUUGAAAAAAAGGCACUAGAAAAAUCCCCCUAAUUUAAAAGUCACAAGAUAAAUUGCAUACACCUAUAUAUAAAACUUGCACACAAAUCAUGUCACUUCAUAAAGAAGUCACUUGAUAAAAAAGAAAAAAGGAAGUUGCAUACCCACAAAUUUAAACUUGCACACACAUUAGAACAACAAAAACAAAAAUACAUAUCCAUUAUAAUUCAUAUCCAUAGUAACAUACAAUGUGUACUGGUCUAACUGUUAUUUUAUCCACGGCUAUUAAGACAGUCAGUUUUACUUAAAUAUCAACUGGAAAAAUCUUAUCCUAGCAUAUAUAUUCAUGGAGUUAGGGUUCCAUGAAUACUCAUAUAGAACUAAAAGAAAAUAAUCUUGCAUACUCAUAAUUCUAAACAAAUAAAAUAGCAUUGAAAAAUGUAUCAUUCAACUACUUAUUGCAGAAAAAUCCCCCUAAUGUAAAAAGUCACUUGAUAAAAUUGCAUACACAUAAUUAUAAAACUUGCACGCAUUCCACAACAACAACAACAAAAACCAUAGUAACAUACAAGCUAUUUCCCGGUCUAAUUUUUUUUAUCCACAGCUAGUAAGACAGUGAGUUUAACUUAAAAAAUGUUAGUAUUCAUCAAUAUCAAACUGAGAAAAAAACUUAUCCUUGAAUAUAUCAACUUCAACCUCAUCAUAAGUGUUAAUGCUCAUGAUACUACAAACGCGGACACUACAAAAACAGCAAGUCUAUAUAAACCUCAUUAUAAGAAGAACUAAAAAUAAAAUUUGCAUACUCAUAAAUCUAAACUUGCACACAGAAUAACACAAAUAACUCAUAAAUCUAAAUUAGGACUACCAUUGAAGAUAUCAUGAAGUGCUUACUGCAAGAAAGCACUCGUAUACACAAUCAUUCACACAUACUACUAGGAAAAGACAAUUAAAAGAGUAAAUACAAAAAGGAAACAAGAAAAAAUAGCUCACCAUCCACCUGAAGCAAUUCUCAUCAAGGACGACGUCAAAGCCUUCAGGGACUCCAUGAUCUCCAGCAAAUGGAACACAGGGGGCACCCGGACAACGACAAACAGGGCAAACCAUAGCUGCAAAAAAAACUAAAUUUUUCAACAACAAACCGUACGCAUAGAGCAUCCUGUCUCUACUCUAACAAAACAAAUUACAUCACACAGACAAAGAAAAGAUAGUCCACAAGAUAUACAUUGUUAAUUACUCAAAAAAACCUCCAUAAAAUCUACUGAACAAUUACAAAUUACAUGCAUGUGCAUAUGUAUAACUGAAAACUUCCACAAAUUCCUCAACAAGAAAAUAGCAUACACACAAAUACGAACAUCCUAAUACAUCAAUUAAAGACACCAUCCUGCUACUGCAUGGACUCAAGACACUAUGGAGACCUACAAAUAACAAAACAUAUACGAAAAAGAUUGCAUCUUUAAGAGAUAUACAAGACAAACUAAAUUACACACAUCAAAACCCUAAUAAUCCUAAACCUCAAUCCAAUCCGUAAAAAACAAAUCAUUGCACCCCUGCCAAAACCUAAAGAUACUUCAUGCAUUACAACUAAAAACAAUAGAGAUGAAAUCAAUACCUGCAAACUUUCAGAUGCACAAACGGACAGUCCUUCGGACAACCAGAGUC
rnacentral:lncRNA from 1 species